rnacentral:lncRNA from 1 species
CUGUAAAUUGGAAUCCUACGUGAAAACAUUCUUUCCACAGUCUCAAGAGAAGUGUACAUUUUAGUCUAUGUUGAAAUUUUUUAACAUCAAAAAAUGUACAUAUUGAUUCUAUCUUAAUCAAAAGUUACUUUCCCUUGGACAUAUUAAACUUUGUGUAUUAUUUACUGUGUUCUUUUAGUUUUUCCUGACACAAGACAAUAAAUUCAGAUAAAUAACUGCAUUAGGAAUUAAAGUACAUGUGAGUUUUAAAAAAAUCCUCCUCUUCAGAAAGUUUAAGUGAAAAUUAACAUUGUUGCAAUUUAUUUUAGUUGAGUUCUAAUAAGUUACAAGGAAGUUGAAUUUUAAGUGAAAUAAAUAUUUGCCAUUUCAAUAAAUCUUUCAAUUUAUUUUCUCCUUUUAUGAUGAAUAGAUUCUUUCCUCAUACGACCUGAACAUAGUUUCUUUUCCAUCUUCUCCUCGCAAUUCCUAACCAGUGCCCCCACACAACCAGAAUCCACCCUCCUUCUGUCUCUCAUUAGAAAAAACAAACAAACAAACAAACAAACAAAAACAAAACAAAACAAAAGAAAACCCACGGACUUCUGAAAGCUAACAACUAAACAUAACAAAAUAAAAUAUAAUAAGUUAAAACAAUCCCAUCAUGUCGAAGUUGAACAAAGUAAAUCAACACUAGGAAAAGAGACCCAGAAGAAAGCCCAACAAUCAGAGACCUACUAGUUCAUACAUUCUGGAGUACUAUAAAAAUACAAAACUGAAAGCUUUAAUAUGUACACAGAGGACCUGGUAUAGACCCAUGGUAGCCUUGUGCCUGCUGCUUCAUUCUUUGAGUUCAAAUGAGCCUUGCUCAGUCUAUUUAAAGAGCCGUGUUCCUCCGGUUGUCCUCUAUCCCCUCUGCCUCUUACACUCUUUCUGCCUCAUCUUCUGUGGAGGUCCCUGAGCUGUGAGGAGAAGGGUUUGAUGAGACAUCCCAAAUAGAAACCCUUAAGUCUAUUGAUUCAUGUGUUAACAGAUGAUCCAUCAAGAGUCAUGUAUUUAAAAUUAGUUACUAAGAGAAAGGUAAUUAUAUCCCUAUUGUCAACUUAGUCUUUGUCAGUGUUUCGGGUCACAGUGACUAAUGAUUUCAAAGGCAUCUUUGAUUUCAAAGGUUAGUGUGACUUUCAAUGAUUUGCUUUUUCUUCUAUUAUAAAUAAUGUAAGGAAUAAAAGGGACAUUUCUUAGCAUUUGGUGCUUAAGUUGGAUGCUACUCAAUCUUGGAAUGAUAUGUCUUGGGCCCAGUCAGAUAUUUCUUCCUGGGGUGAGGGGAGGAAAUCGUGGAACUCCACAGUUAUAUUUCUGAGUUGUUGAUGUAAUGUGGUAAUGAAAACAUCCUUCUUAUCUCUAUCUAAUUAGAACUUUGUGCCAAAAUGAUAAACCUAAGAGCAUUCCUUUCAGUGUCCGAGGACAGCUGAAACAUUUUCUUUGCAUUUAUUAUGCAUUUCUUGAAGAUUGAAAAAGAUAAUCAUCUCAGAGCAGUUCUCCUGUGGAUUCACUUAGAGGCACUUCUGCUUUCUCCUCAAAUGUGUGUUUGUUUCUCUCUAGGAUAUACAAAAACAAAGACAGUACCUGUUUCGUUUAUUUGGACAUCUAAAUAAUUGGUAGGACAUUGUGGGUAAAUAUUUCACAGUAGCCAAUGGUUACUGAGAAUAUUUAUGGCUAUUUCUUAUAUCUGUUUUUCUUAAUAAUGACAUUGUUUAUGUAUGUAUAAAAUUUUUAUGCAUUCAUAUGUUUAUCUUUCAUAAAAAUUUAAAAGCUGCUUUUAUAGUUUUAAUGUAGUUUGACUCAUUUGUUUGGAAAUCGGGAGGAUUUGUGUUGAUAUUGUAUGUUAGAGAAAAGUACUUUUUCAUCUUGUUAUCAGUAGACGCAUGCGAUUGCAAUUCCAUGGGGUUUAACUAUUAAAAAUUAAAAGUUAAAAUUUAAAAUUAAAAAAUAUCCCCACAUAUUCUAUUUAUUUGGAUACUUGUUCUCAGAAUAGAUAUUAGCUUAUUACUUUAUUGUCAAGGACCCUUUAAAGUAUUCCAAAAACCUGUAAGUGUUCUAAAUAUUACUGAAGUACCUGUUCAAGUUCUCACCUCUAUAUUAUCUGAAGACCUUGUUUUCCCAUCUAAAUGAAAAAUGAUGUGUUCUCUGCAACAAAUGUUUCCUAGAGUGUUCCAGUACAGUAAGUGUGUACUUUCUUCUCUUGAGGAAAAAAAAUGAAGGGUUAGUUAUUCUCUGCAUUGAUUAAUUUAAUAUUGGAUUGCUGGGAGGAGGAUGAGGUCGAAACUAACUCAUCAAUGUUUGUUUUAGAAACUAUAUUUCAUACAACAACAGAAAAAGUUAAUGGUUAUCAUAAGAGUGCUCAGGACUGCAGAUGCAGUUCAUUGGCACAGUGUUUAGCAUGAAGAAGGCCCUGGUUAGUUUAUUUGGGUUAAUUACACACACACACACACACACACACACACACACACACACACACACACACACACACACAAGAGAUCUCUACUAAAGUAGUAGAUAAAUAGCAUCUUGUGUCUCCUACAACCUCAUUUAUCAUUUUUGAAACCUUGGCAUUCACUUCAGUUCAAGUAAAUAUAACGCCUCAGCAUACCUUGAUCAUAGCUUCUUAUCAGCAAAUUAAUAAUCAUUAAUGAGGAGCAUUUGGAUUACAGCCUUUCUUACCUGAUCACUUUUCUUAAUGGAAUGUUCUUACCUGAUUAUUAAGUAAAGUGUGUUCAGUUAUUAUUGGUGUAACACAAAGAAGCCAAAAGUAAUAGCUCACAAAGUAAGGAAUGAUUGAUAUCACAUGAUGCUGAUAAAAUUAAAACAGCAAAAAAUAUCACAAUGAAACACAGUAAUUUGGCUUUUGUACAUAUCAUCCUGAGUGAGGUAACCCAAUCACAAAAGGACACACAUGAUAUACACUCACUGAUAAGCAGAUAUUAGCCCAGAAACUUAGAAUAUCCAAGAUACAAUUUGCAAAACAUGAAACUCAAGAAGAAGGAAAACCAAAGUAUGGGUACCUCAGUCCUUCUUAGAAUGGGGAACAAAACACCCAUAGAAGGAGUAACAGAGACUAAGUUUGGAGUUGAGACAGAAGGAAGAACCAUCCAGAGACUGCCCCACAAGGGGAUCCAUCCCAUAAACAACCACCAAACCCAGACACUAUUGCAUAUGCCAGCAAGAUUUUGCUGAUAUAGCUCUCUUAUGUGAGGCUAUGCCACAAAUGCAGAAGUGUAUACUCACAGUCAUCUAUUGGAUGGAACACAGGGUCCCCAAUGAAAGAGCUAAGAAAUUACCCAAGGAGCUAAAGAGGUCUGCAACCCUAUAGGAGGAACAACAAUAUGAACUAACCAUUCCCCACCUCUCAUCCCCAGAGCUUGUGUCUCUAGUUUCAUAUGUAGCAGAGGAUGGCCUAGUAGGCCAUCAAGGGGAGGAGAGGCUCUCAGUCUUGAGAAGAUUAUAUGCCCCAGAACAGGGGAAUGCCAGGGUCAGGAAAGGGGAUAGCAUUUGAAAUGUAAAUGAAGAAAAUAUCUACUAAAAAAAUAAAAAAAAAAUAAAACCUAGUAGUUUUUACCUUACACAAAACUGAGAUACAAGAAUACUUUUGUUUUAUAGUGCAUCUUCCGAGGAAGUCUCAUUAAAGCACUCAUUUUUUUUUCUAGGGGCA